rnacentral:lncRNA from 1 species
AGGACCACGGAAUAAUGAGACACACUGCCCUAGAGCAAGGGGCCAGGGCACUGAUGCGAAGUGGCUCAGCUGGAAAGGGUAAAUGGUGAUGACAGCAAGACUGCAUAAAGCAGAAGAUGAGGGGGAAAACCGGCUCAGCCGUGACUUGGGGCAUCCACAGAUCGAACUAUUGAGGAAUCUAGACAGAGGGCAGCACUCAGGAGCCCGGCUGUGGGAGUUGAUCCCAGGAGAGCUUUCAAAUGUGGGAAGUGUGAGAGCUGCCAAAGCUUCUGACAUACUUUGUUCUGAUCAGCUCGUGAACUGGAACGAGUCCAAGCCUGCAGCUGGACCCACGACUACAUCAGAUGCUGAGAGCAGAGGAGAAAGCAAAGGAGCUAUUUGGCAGCUAAGGACAUUCUUCUGCAUGCUGCACUGCUGGUGGAAAAUAUGGAAGAGAUGCCCAUGACUGUCAGCUAUGGCCUUAAGACCCCGGAGAUUCAGUUCUCUGAUGAGAAGUCGCUUUGAGUCUGUGAAACGUUACACCAGGCAUCUGCUGAAUUUGAAGGGAGUAGCAAGUGGUGACAGAAUAACCAGUUGUCAGUGAUCUGUAUCAGUUGUGCAAAUGCCAGAAAAAUAAUUUCAAGGUGAUUUCCCAGGUAUUUGUAAUAGAUCAUAAAUAAAAAAGGCUACUGGCUAGUAACAUCCUGCAUUCCACCUUGAAUUUCUAGAGUAGUCCUUGGAUUGCAAAUAUAAACGUUCUCAAAAAUAUAAAUAUGACUACUUUAACAAUCCAGCAACGAAUGGACAAAUAUAAUUUGAACUCCCACAAUUACCUCUUACUCUUUAAAUGUUCUCCAAGGGAAGCUCUAAAUUAAAUGAGAAGUCAAUUUUAAAAUGUAGAAAUGGAGUAAGGGAUGAAUUCUCCAUUUUUUUUUAUCAGACAUUUGCAGCGUUAGGCUAUCCCACUACACUGUAGGAUUCA